GAUGAACGCUGGCGGCGUGCCUAAUACAUGCAAGUCGAGCGAACGGACGAGAAGCUUGCUUCUCUGAUGUUAGCGGCGGACGGGUGAGUAACACGUGGAUAACCUACCUAUAAGACUGGGAUAACUUCGGGAAACCGGAGCUAAUACCGGAUAAUAUUUUGAACCGCAUGGUUCAAAAGUGAAAGACGGUCUUGCUGUCACUUAUAGAUGGAUCCGCGCUGCAUUAGCUAGUUGGUAAGGUAACGGCUUACCAAGGCAACGAUGCAUAGCCGACCUGAGAGGGUGAUCGGCCACACUGGAACUGAGACACGGUCCAGACUCCUACGGGUGGCAGCAGUAGGGAAUCUUCCGCAAUGGGCGAAAGCCUGACGGAGCAACGCCGCGUGAGUGAUGAAGGUCUUCGGAUCGUAAAACUCUGUUAUUAGGGAAGAACAUAUGUGUAAGUAACUGUGCACAUCUUGACGGUACCUAAUCAGAAAGCCACGGCUAACUACGUGCCAGCAGCCGCGGUAAUACGUAGGUGGCAAGCGUUAUCCGGAAUUAUUGGGCGUAAAGCGCGCGUAGGCGGUUUUUUAAGUCUGAUGUGAAAGCCCACGGCUCAACCGUGGAGGGUCAUUGGAAACUGGAAAACUUGAGUGCAGAAGAGGAAAGUGGAAUUCCAUGUGUAGCGGUGAAAUGCGCAGAGAUAUGGAGGAACACCAGUGGCGAAGGCGACUUUCUGGUCUGUAACUGACGCUGAUGUGCGAAAGCGUGGGGAUCAAACAGGAUUAGAUACCCUGGUAGUCCACGCCGUAAACGAUGAGUGCUAAGUGUUAGGGGGUUUCCGCCCCUUAGUGCUGCAGCUAACGCAUUAAGCACUCCGCCUGGGGAGUACGACCGCAAGGUUGAAACUCAAAGGAAUUGACGGGGACCCGCACAAGCGGUGGAGCAUGUGGUUUAAUUCGAAGCAACGCGAAGAACCUUACCAAAUCUUGACAUCCUUUGACAACUCUAGAGAUAGAGCUUUCCCCUUCGGGGGACAAAGUGACAGGUGGUGCAUGGUUGUCGUCAGCUCGUGUCGUGAGAUGUUGGGUUAAGUCCCGCAACGAGCGCAACCCUUAAGCUUAGUUGCCAUCAUUAAGUUGGGCACUCUAAGUUGACUGCCGGUGACAAACCGGAGGAAGGUGGGGAUGACGUCAAAUCAUCAUGCCCCUUAUGAUUUGGGCUACACACGUGCUACAAUGGACAAUACAAAGGGCAGCGAAACCGUGAGGUCAAGCAAAUCCCAUAAAGUUGUUCUCAGUUCGGAUUGUAGUCUGCAACUCGACUACAUGAAGCUGGAAUCGCUAGUAAUCGUAGAUCAGCAUGCUACGGUGAAUACGUUCCCGGGUCU
rnacentral:rRNA from 1 species